rnacentral:rRNA from 1 species
UACGUAGGUGCAAGCGUUGUCCGGAAUUAUUGGGUCGUAAAGAGCUCGUAGGCGGCUUGUCACGUCGGCCGUGUCGAAACCUGGGGCUCACCCGGGCCUGCAGCCGAUGACGGGCAAGCUAGAAUUCGGUAGGGAGACUGGAAUUCCUGGUGUAGCGGUGAAAUGCGCAGAUAUCAGGAGGAACACCGGUGGCGAAGCGGUCUCUGGCCGAAAUGACGCUGGAGGAGCGAAAGCGUGGGAGCGAACAGG